rnacentral:lncRNA from 1 species
UCUUUCAUAGCCGUUACUCUGUUUUGUCCUCUUCUUCACUUCAUCUUGGCAGGCUAUACUGUUGACUUCUGUUUGUUGAUGGGCCACUCUCAUCAGGUCCAUAUCUUUGUUACUCAUACUUGUCAAAGCUACUUGAAAGAGUUAGAUUCCAAAGGUUUAUAAUUAUAGAUAGACUGCACGAAAAAAAUAAGAGAUUCCAAGGUUUAUAAUUAUAAAUGAAUUAACCAUUUAUGUUUGUACAACAAAAUCAAAUUUAAUUUUUUUUUUCUUUUUUGGAUUUCGUUUUAGCUAUUUUACAUAUUUAUUUUAACUGUUUGAUUUUUUUUAUUACAAAAAAGAUAACUUGAAAAUUGCAAAAAGAAAUUAGGUUUUCACAAUCAUGUAAAGUCUAGUUUACGUGACUUUAGAAAAAAUAAAUAUUUUAAGAGUAAAUUGGCAACAGUCGACGGUUAUAAGCUGUUGAAGCCUUAGAAAAUAAAUUGAAAGCAAAAGUCCGAUUGGCUUUCAAUUGAUUUUGAAGACUCUAAGAGCAUGUACAACGGUAGAUUAUAGAGAGUCCUUAGCUAUAAUCCUUAGCGCUUUUUGAUUAAAAAAUCAUUAAAAAAGGAGGACAAACUUAAGGAUGAUCCUUCAUUAAGGAUUAGAAAGAGGGAAUCCUUAAUGCGCUGGCGCUAUCUCAUUGGUUCGGUUUAGGGGUGUCUCUCGUUAGGAAAAAAAAAACACGCGACCCAACCUCAUUCUAUCUCGUAGCCGAAAAAAAAGAGAAGAGAGAGAGAGAGAGGCGAUAGAGAGGCGACAGAGAGGCGAUUCGCGAGCGUGAGUUUUGA